rnacentral:lncRNA from 1 species
GAUGCCACAUGAAACCACAGCAACUUCGUUUAGAACCUCACUGCAGAGGGUUAUUUUCAUUAUCAUAAUUGCACUGUUAUCUGCUUAUUCACAUAGCUGAGGACAGCUUUUCUUGCUUUAACAAAAUAAUACAUACCCAGGACACUCAGGUGCCUUUGAGUAAAUAAAAGGAUAUGUGCCAUAAAUACAUUGUUGUGUACACAAUUCCAGUAAUAAGAAUUUU